GUAGUAAGUUAGAAUUGGAGUAAAAAAAAGAAAAAGAGAGCACGCGAAACAAAAAUUUGCACUAAUGAAAGAUUCAUUCAACAGAUUAUUGGGAACAUGAAUUUAAAGCAGUAGACAUCUCUUUCUUUCUCUUUUCUUGCUCUAAAGUUUUUCACUUUUCAGAAGUGCAAGGAAUGUGUUAAAACUCACAAGAGGCUGAUUUUCCAAUUAC
rnacentral:misc_RNA from 1 species